rnacentral:lncRNA from 1 species
GGGUCCAAUCAGAGCUGCUGCCACCAGCCUACACCACAGGCACGGCAACACGGGAUCCGAGCCUUGUCUGUGACCUACACCACAGCUCACAGCAACGCCGGGUCCCUGGCCCACUGAGCGAGCGAGGCCAGGCCUUGAACCUGCACCCUCCUGGUUUCUGCUGAGCCAGGAUGGGAACUCCCAUUUCCCUUUCUUUUGUGGAAGGGUAGCAAGUCGUGCACAGUUCUGCAUCCGGAUCUCCCCCCCUCACCAAGAGCCGCAGAGAAUGGCCCUUACGUCGGACACGGAGCAACGGUCACGGAGGAGAGAACUCUAGGAAAGCGGAUUCUGCAGCCAAAAGCCACAGUGGAAUGGCUGUGAGCACCGGUGUCCCCUCCCUAGGCCGUGGCUGCCGAAUCCUUCAAUCGGACAUGGAUGACUGGCAGCACUGCACUCGCGGGAUCCCCCCGCACUCAGGACCAGGGCGGCCGUUGGCAGAUGCCUGCCACUCGUCAGCUUGUCACCUCCCCUCUCUCCUAGCCGUGGAAGCACGCACCUGACCCUGAGGCCGUUUCCAGCCUCUGGUUCCGACUCUGCACACACAGGGACCGACCUGGGAUGGACUCUGCCCAACUGCCCCCGAGACCUUCUUCACCUGGUGCGUCCCCCCCACGGUCACCACCUUCGAGGGACCACUUCUCCGCAUACUCGUCAGGGAACCUGCAGUUUCAGGACAACGUGGUGCAGGGCACCUCUGAUGCUCCAGCACAAGCAGAAUAUUUUUCGUAAGGGAAAACUUUUUUUUUUUAAGGGAAACGGCGCUUGUAUAUUUUUGGAUGCACUUACUAAGAAAAUACUACAUAAUGACUAAACAAUUUGUACUGAGGAAUUCUGUUCCAGGACCAAGUUCAAUUUAUACAAGACAAACAAUCAUCGACCCAGCCUUAACCUCCCACCCCAGAAAGGCGGAACUCAGCCUCUGAAAGCACAAGCCCCUCAGGGAGCAAAGGCUUCUUUUCCCAGAUGAAAUUUCAUGAAUAAGAGAACACAAAAAAUAGGCAGUGCCGACUCGCCUGGGGCUGUUAGCAUCUAAAGGGACUUAGAUGCCGCCUGGGGGACGGGAGGGAAGGGCACUGAGCACCCAUGACUUGGCUUUUGCUGCUGGGCGGUGCCACAUGGGCUGCUGGCACCUCUGACCUACAGACCCCACCCGAGCAGGACACUGACCCUCUACAGGGAGCAGCGGACACGGGCACUUGACAUCAAUCUCAGGCCACAGCAAGGGGAAACCUUCUCACACUGUCGUCUAUGGACAAUGACGCUCUUGCUUCCAGAAGCUGGCGGGACACGUCUUUGCACGUGGAAAAUGAGUGCCCUGGCCAGUUGCGGGGACAGGCGUUUUGUUUCAAUGACCCCAUUAGGCUGAGACGCAGCACCUCCCGCCGAGAGCCUGGAUAAGACUCUCCCCGGCGCUGUCCCUAAAAGCCCACCUCUUCUGCCCCCUGCUUUCUCCUGUGUUUCUCGAGAUGUCAGCAGGUUGGAACAGGAGCUAUGUGCGUCCCUCGCCCGUGUGGCUGCCUGGCUGAGCCCCUGCUGGGUCCCUGUCUUCCCGGAGAAGCUGGCGGCCAGGCCUCUGGCUCCUCCAGGCUCUGCACCCACCUGGCCCUCUGCCUCCAGGACCUUCUUGGCCUCCCGUUCUCCACACAGGCCUCUAUGCCCUCGGCUCUCGAGAAUCCACGGGAGGGACAAUGAACAGCCAGGCACUCAUGUUAGAAAAGGCCGCCCUCCCCAGAGGCCUACACACGGGGCCUGCUACUCGGUCAGUGCAGCCGUCGAGAGUGGCAAGCGGUCCCCAGAGCUGUGCUUCUGGGGGCUGGUGCGUCCCGGCUGGGUGCCCCCACGAGGUGGGUGGAGGGCUGCAAAAGCAGGUGGAUGACACCUGCCCGACGUGGACAAACCUCGAGGGCAUCAGAGGGCCAAGCGCUAUAAGCAGACACAGAAGGACAAACAGCGCAUGAGCCGCGUCCACGGGCAAAGCCAUCGAGACAGAACACGGAGCAGAGGGGACUCAGGCCGGGGAGGGGUCAGGGUCAGCGGACAGAGGCUCAGCUUGGGACGCGGAGAAAGGUGCAGACAGAACGUGCUGAUGGUUCCCAGCAACGUGAGUGGGUACAAGGCCACUGAGCUGUAUGCCUGAAGAUGGUUAAGGCAGGGCACUCCCCGGAGGCUCGGGGGGUUAAGGAGCCAGUUGCCACUGCAGCGGCUUGGGUCACUGCUGUGGCCUGGGUUCGAUCCCUGGCCCAGGAACUUCUGUGUGCCUUGGGUGUGGCCAAAAAAGCACAAGACGGCGUAUUUGAUGGUAUGUGUAUUUUUCCACAAGAGAGAGAGCGCGAGCGAGUGAGCAAGCUCGAGGACAGGAAUGACAAGCAGGCCGAGCACCCCGUCCUCCUAGACACCAGCACAGCGGCUCAGUGGUCUGGCGACAGCAGAGGACGCGCCCGGGUAAUUACAAGUUUUUCCCAGAGUGUCCCGUUCUGCCCGACACACUGCCCAGUAAUCGUCCCAAUUCGGGCGACAGUAGCCAACGACUCCUGCAAGUCACUGUGCAGACGUUCUGCUUGGCGGUGCUGUGGGCACCGAUCCGUCCCUGGAGCCCCCGCGCUAAGGGCCCCCAGUCCUGCAGAAGCGCCGUGGCCGUGACCAUCCUGGGUGUGGCCUCAUGGGCGCCCCCACCCCCGCCCCGCGGGCUUUCUCCAGGCUGGGGUCCCGCCGCAGCUCCUCACGGUGCCCCGGGCUCGGCGGCAGCACCCGGAAAGCGCGCCUGUGCUCGGACCCCAGCCCUGCCUUCUGACCCUGCAGGGAACCACUGAACCAUUUCACAUUCAUUCGAUGGGCCGCUUCAGGUCUACACUGUGAAACCUUGAUUUCGAUGGGGGAACGAAAGGUCUCUCCUUCCCAGUCAAAACCGGCAAGAACGGACCUCGGUUUCAAUCUCAGAUUCUCGGGCAGGAACGCCUGUGCUUUUCCCACCUUUUCAACCUUUUCAAGUGCUCUGCCCAGUGAUGUCAAAUCAGAAAAAAGGAAAGAAACCAGUAGGAAAAGCACACUAAGAACACGGCUAAACCCAUGCGACUAAGUCACGAGAAAACGGGAAUGGGCCGCACUUCCCGCGAGAGGAACGCUCAGGUUACACAAGAGGAUAAAACUGUUCGCAGGAAAUAUACUUAAAGCAGGGACGGCUGCAAACAAAGAAGCACAAAGAUACGCCAGGCAGAUAAAAGCUGGACAGAAACGGCAACAGUGAUACCCAGCAUCACAGGAGGUGAACUUCCAGGUCAAAGGGAUCAAGUGAAACACAAGGAAAAAUCUACAGGAGCCAGGAACCCUUAGGUCUGGUAUCAAAAGAUCCAAAGUUAAAAAGCCUUAGAAAUCAGCAAUUCCCGUCGUCGUGGCUCAGUGGUUAACGAAUCUGACUAGGAACCAUGAGGCAGCGGGUUUGAUCUCUGGCCUCUCUCAGUGGGUUAAGGAUCCAGCAUUGCUGUGGCUGUGGUGUAGGUCGCCAGCCUCAAUUCUGAUUAGACCCCCCCAGCCUUCGAACCUGCACAUGCCGCAGGUGCAGCCCUAAAAAGACAAAAAGACAAAAAAAAACAAAAACAAAAAAGCCCCUGGAAAUCAAAGCUGUUGACAAAAACUACAAUCAGAGUGAGAGACUUCGACAAAUCGCCUGGCCCCACAGUGAGGCCACUGUCCAGCCCCUGGAUGCUUAGGGACAUGGAUGGGCUCUGAGCACCCUGACCGGCUCCCUUGGGAUCAGGAGGCAGGACCACCCCACAGAGGACUUUUAUCAAGAAAGAAGAGCGUUCCAUCCCGAGGAAAGUUCAAGCUUCGCUUCUAAAGAAGAUGAAAAUUGAAACUUUUAAGUAAGACGUUUCCAGCUUCUACCUGACAAGAUUUCAGAAAACUUGGGUCUCAUUCGGCAGGAGCUUCUGUCUUGGAUGGACCUGUCCUGUAUCCCAGCAUUUAACAUUCCUUUUGGCUAAGAAUUAAUUCUGCCCAACUGGUCUGGAGAGGCGGUCCCAUCCCUACUGCAUGUGUGACCAUGUACGUACGACACAGGUGCUUGCCAACAUCUUAAAACCAGGUCCUACUAAGACACAACUUCAUCUGUGCCUAAACCAAGCGACAAGCCAGAUGUCCCUCAUUAUGAACAGAGCACAGAAAACAAUGUGCUUCGUAUUAACCUACAGCCAGGAAAUCAGAUGCCGAAGUGAUAAACACCAUCCACCCACCGGGGCGGGCUGGAAUUCUGCCCCCGGAAAGUAAGAAUGCUCUCCUGCUGGGAAAGCUGUUACACAACACAACACACUUAUGUUAAUCACACAGACGGGCUAAAGGCGGAAAACACCUGAUGUAUUUAUUGCUCCACAAAAGCCAAACAAGGAAUGCGAUGCAAGUGUUAUCUCUUCCUGGAUGAAAGAAAGAAAGGCCUCUCAGGAAGCUGAGAACUAAGUUGCCUUGCGAGUGUUUACCAGGAAACAAAGAAGAAAUCGCAUUCAAAGGCCGCACGCCACUCCCCGCAGCCACCACCGACACAUCAUUCAACAUUUUCUGGACUUUCACGUAGGAAGAAAACAAAACAAAAAAAGCCCAGGAGGUAUAAACGCUGGAACGAAGGGGGAAAGUCACCAUUAUUUGCGACAGUCGGCCUCAAAAACUAGAGAAUCGACAAGUGCAACCACAUAAUGAAAAACGACCACGUGUGACCUCUGGGGUCAGCUGCAGGGCCAGCAGGUGUUCAGGCGCCCUCCCCACAGUCCCGCCCUCGGUAAGGGUCACCCGGUCACCUCCUCAUUUUUCUGCACGGCAGCGGUGGUGGCAGAGAACCAGACCAACAGACCAGCUGAAGAGGCUCGGAAGUGCAGGUGCUGAACCCCCAUCUCCACGCGGGUUUACCAAGGGGUUUAUCAGAGAUGGUUAAAUAAAUGAUGCAAAGGCACCAGGCUGCGUAUUUAGAAAAAAGGUUACCAUUCUAUUUAGUGAAAUAAACACAAACUGCAAAGGAAGAAAGGAUUUAAAUGUUAAAAAAAAAAAAAAAGAUCAUUUGGAACCUCUGAGGCAGCUGAAGACUGAUGGGUAAAGAAGGCAGAUGGACACAUGCACUUAAUUUCGUGCCCUCUUGAAGCCCCACUAAAACCACCCGGAAGAGAUUUCGCUUUUCCCCCCAAAGAUAUUAACUAGCGAGGAAAAAGGAACCAGGAAAGGAAACCAAAUUCUGGCAUCUACAAAACAGAUGGACCAGACACAAGAGACCUAAGAAAACGGAACCCCAAGACAGCCUGGAAAGAGCCAAGGUCCCACCUGAUUGGAGCACAGAACCUCCUCAAGGUCUGGUAAGUGGCUUGAGGCACUUUGGAGGCGGAGGUGGGGACAGAGGUGGCUAAGACCAGGACGCAGGGCAGGAAGCCCGGUACAGCGCUGAGGGGCACAGGUGUCUGGCCUCUCUGCCCAGCCUGGGGCGGCCCCCCACUCAGCCGAAGUCUGCAGCACCAUGUGGGGUCCCUGGACGGGGGGUACUGAACACAGCUAUUCUCCAUUCUGGACUUACAAAUAAAUUCCCAGGAAACUCAAAACAGAAGCCAGCUUCCUUUUAUUAAGAGGGAAUUUAUCGUGAGUUCUCAUUGCGGCUCAGUGGUUAAUGAACCCGACUAGCAUCCAUGAGGACCCAGGUUCGAUCCCUGGCCUCACUCAGCAGGUUAAGGAUCUGGCCUUGCCGUGAGCUGCAGCAUAGGUUGUAGACAUGGCUCAGAUCCCAUGUUGCUGUGGCUGUGGUGUAGGCCAGCGGCUCCAGCUCCAAUUCGACCCCUAGCCCAGGAACCUCCAUAUGUUGUUGGUGCAACCCUAAAAAGACAAAAAAAAAAAAAAAAAA